rnacentral:tRNA from 1 species
GGGAUGUUAGUAAAGUAAUUACAUGGCCUUGUCAAGACCAAAUCACAGGUGAAACCCCAGUACAUCCUA